rnacentral:misc_RNA from 1 species
GAAAUGCGAUAAGUAAUGUGAAUUGCAGAAUUCAGUGAAUCAUCGAAUCUUUGAACGCACAUUGCGCCCGCCAGUAUUCUGGCGGGCAUGCCUGUCCGAGCGUCAUUUCAACCAUCAAGCCCCCGGGCUUGUGUUGGGGACCUGCGGCUGCCCGCAGGCCCUGAAAACCAGUGGCGGGCUCGCUGUCACACCGAGCGUAGUAGCAAUAACCUCGCUCAGGGCGUGCUGCGGGUUCCGGCCGUUAAACAGCCUUACAAAACCCAAGGUUGACCUCGGAUCAGGUAGGAAGACCCGCUGAACUUAAGC